CUCCGGUGAUCCCUGCCGGACCCGACUGCUAUCGGAUUGAGAUUUAGCCAUGCGAGUUGAACGUCUUCUGACUGCAGGAGGCGUAGCAUACGGCUCAGUAACACGUAGUCAACCUGCCCUGGAGACGCGGAUAACCCCGGGAAACUGGGAUUAAUCCACGAUAGGUCACCUCAUCUGGAAGGAGAGAUGGCCCAAAGGGGAAUUGUGAGCAUGUUUCACUACUCUCGCUCCAGGAUGGGACUGCGGCCGAUCAGGCUGUUGGCGGGGUAAAGGCCCACCAAACCUGUAACCGGUACGGGCUUUGAGAGAAGGAGCCCGGAGAUGGACACUGAGACAAGGGUCCAGGUCCUACGGGGCGCAGCAGGCGCGAAACCUUCGCAAUGCGCGAAAGCGUGACGAGGUUAAUCCGAGUGGCUUCCGCUGAGGAAGUCUUUUGCCGACUCUAAAAAGGUCGGAGAAUAAGGGGAGGGCAAGUCUGGUGUCAGCCGCCGCGGUAAUACCAGCUCCUCGAGUGGUCGGGGCGAUUAUUGGGCCUAAAGCAUCCGUAGCCGGUUCCGUAGGUCUCCUGCAAAAUCCAGUCGCUCAACGAUUGGUCCGCAAGAGAUACCGCGGGACUAGGAGGCGGGAGAGGUGGACGGUACUCCACGUGUAGGGGUAAAAUCCUUUGAUCCGUGGAAGACCACCAGAUUGCUUGCGGUUAAUGACCACAAGCACGGUGAAUGGCGAAGGCGGUCCACCAGAACGCGCUCGACGGUGAGGGAUGAAAGCUGGGGGAGCGAACCGGAUUAGAUACCCGGGUAGUCCCAGCCGUAAACGAUGCGAGCUAGAUGAUCCAGUCGCAAAUCGCGACUGGAGUGUCGCAGGGAAGCCGUUAAGCUCGCCGCCUGGGGAGUACGGUCGCAAGACUGAAACUUAAAGGAAUUGGCGGGGGAGCA
rnacentral:rRNA from 1 species